rnacentral:rRNA from 1 species
GACGAACGCUGGCGGCGUGCUUAACACAUGCAAGUCGAACGGUGACGAGCAGCUUGCUGCUCUGAUCAGUGGCGAACGGGUGAGUAACACGUGAGCAACCUACCCUUGACUCCGGGAUAACAGUUGGAAACAGCUGCUAAUACCGGAUACGACCUCGACCGACAUCGGUUGGGGUGGAAAGUUCUGGCGGUCAAGGAUGGGCUCGCGGCCUAUCAGCUAGUUGGUGAGGUAACGGCUCACCAAGGCUUCGACGGGUAGCCGGCCUGAGAGGGCGACCGGCCACACUGGGACUGAGAUACGGCCCAGACUCCUACGGGAGGCAG